rnacentral:snRNA from 1 species
AUACCUUUCUCGGUCUUUUGGCUAAGAUCAAGUGUAGUAUCUGUUCUUAUCAGUUUAAUACCUCGCUCGACGAAGAGGGGACGGAAGGGCAAGGAGGUUACAAAUAGAGGAGCAGGGCAGCAUUU